AAAACAUGGCUUGUUGUUAAUGAUUUCAAGUYUGACCUGCCCACUGAGUAGUUGAAUGGCCGCGGUAUACUGACCGUGCAAAGGUAGCAUAAUCACUAGUUUUUUAAUUGAAAGCUUGAAUGAAAGGUUUGAUGAAAAAAAGACUGUCUCUGUAAAAAUUUAUUAGAAUUUUAUUUUUAAGUUAAAAAGCUUAAAUUUAUAUAGAAGACGAGAAGACCCUAUAGAGUUUUAUAAACGUUUUUAAAAUUAAAUUUAUAGCCAAGGAAGUUUGUUUUAAAAAUUUUUAUUUGGUUGGGGUGACAAAAAAAUUUAAUUAACUUUUUUUAGUACAUAAACAUUGAUUUUUGAGUAGUUGAUCCUAAGUUUUAGAUUAAAAGAUUAAAUUACCUUAGGGAUAACAGCGUAAUUUUUUUUAGAGCUCUUAUCAAAAAAAAAGAUUGCGACCUCGAUGUUGGAUUAAAAUAAAUUAUUGGUGUARAAGCUAAUAUAUUAGGUCUGUUCGACCUUUAAAAUUUUACAUGAUCUGAGUUUAAACCGGCGUGAGCCAGGUCGG
rnacentral:rRNA from 1 species